UUUAAAUGUAAAUAUAAUAAUUAAUAGAGUAGUAAUAGUUAUGGUCUUGAAACUUAAAAAAUUUGGCGGUAUUUUAUUCUUUUUAGAGGAACUUGUUUUAUAAUCGAUAAUCCUCGUUGAAUCUUACUUAAUUUUGUUUAAUAUGUAUACCGUUGUCAUAAGAAUGUCUUAAAAAAGUAAUAAUUUUCUAAUUUAAUAAUUAUUUUGUAUGUCAGAUCAAGGUGCAGUUUAUAGUUAAGUAAAAAUGAGUUACAAUUAAUUUAUUAAUUAUGAAUUAAAAUGUUAAAAUAUUUUAUGAAGGUGGAUUUAAUAGUAAAUUUUUAUAGAUAGUAAAAUUGAUUUUAGUUUUAAAAUGUGC
rnacentral:rRNA from 1 species